ensembl:lncRNA
CGGCCGGUGAGGUAGGAUGUAAACCAGGAGAGUGCAGCACCAGUGAUCCCAAUACCAGCUAGGCGGUCCAGGAGCAGAGGGUGGGAGAUGGUGUCGAAUGCUGCGCUGAGAUCGAGGAGGAUGAGAAUGGGCAUCCAAUUAUGCAGAUAAAGGCAAGGAGUAGCCCAGCUGAAGGGGAGGGUGGAGGGGAGGAAGAGGAGGAGGAGAUGAUGAAAAAAUAAGAAUAAGGGGGAGAAGAGGAAGACUAAGAAGGAGGUGGAGGAGCGUGUUGCGGGUACUGGACUGGAUGCCUGGACCCUCCUCAUGGAUAACCGGCCAGAACCGCAUCACCAUUUUAAUAUGAUUUGCAUGUAUUUACCUGUAUGUCCAUUGUGGCACCCAUUGCACUCCUGACCAUCCCUGGAAGAAGGGAUCCCCUACAUUGCGUUUCUUCUCAAGAUUUCUUCCUUGCUGAUUCAAGGGAGUUUUUUCUUGCCCGUGUGGGGGCAUGGGUAAAGGGGGGUGUCACAAAUAUUU